CUUUUAUUACGACAGUGUUUAGAGAGAUUAAGUCUAAUGAAACGAAACACUGCGGGGAAUAUGGAUUCCAUUUGGGUUCAAGAAUUAACAGUAGUGCCUGGUAAAAUGUCGACCAUGGAUAGAUACAUGUAUAAUUAUAUUAUAGUUAUGUUACUGGCUGUACAUAUUAUAUAUAUGCAAGGUCAAACAUACAGUUUAUCAGGAUCAGCACCAUAUGGUAUUAAAGGUGAAGAUUAUAGAUUUACAUGUCAAAUAUCUGGUGGUGAUUUACGUUCAUCUGUACAGUUUAAGAAGGGUAGUGACUUAGCCUGUACAAUUUCUGGUUGUCAACCAUCAUCACCUAAUACCAGAUAUACAUGUGGUUGUAUCAAUGGUAACAACAGAACACUGUAUCUUAAUAUAACUAAUGUUACAUCAACUGAUACUGGUAACUGGACCUGUGGAGAUAUCUUUUACAUCAGUCCUCCUGUAACUCUAGGAUUCUAUACGACUCGAGAUUGCAAUUUGGCAGGUGGUUUGUCAUUUAUCUGUGAUUUCAUUGUUGGCGUUGGUGCAUCCGCGUUUAUAAUUUAUUUUAUAAAUAUAGGUCUGACUACCAAAAUAAAGAUUGCAGUCUUUGUUACUCAUGCUGUUGCUUCUGGGAUUCUUGGUGGCGGAACAUAUGGAGCGUGCAUUAAUAACGUAUCAGUUGCUGGUAUGGUGUGUAUCAGUAUUGGCUGUAUGUCCACAGUAUGGGCAGUAACAGCCGCUGUUGUUAGACUCGCUUGUAUAUUUUGUUACAAUAAAGUACACGAUGGAUUAGAUAACUCCGAAACGCCAUAGGUGGUGUAACCGAGGAAUAUAUGACACAGCAGACUGCAGAGUUAAAGAAUAAAACUUGGUCUACGAGUACGGCAGUAACUUAUCGUACACAUCUCAAAAUGUUAUUUAAAGUUUUGUCAGCUUUUCGAAAAAUGCGCGGUUCCCGUUGAUUCACGAACUCUCCAGUUAUAUGUAACAUAUUUUGUUAGUUAAGCAUUUCAAGUAUGCCACGGUUCAGCAAUAUCUAAAUAUUCUACCGCAUGUACAUAAGUUAUCUGUUUUUUUCCGAUUAUAUACAAGGCGAUUGUUGUUAAUAGGUGUUAAGAGGGAACUGGGAUUAGCUCAGAUUCCAUUCGAUGUUAUCACACCAGAUAUAUUAUAUAAGAUUUAGUGUGUUUUAAGUUUUGACGAUGUCUCUGAUCACGCUUUCUGGUGCGCAUGCUUAACUGUUAACUGCUUUCUUUGGAUUACUUCUCCCAGGCAAUGUGACUGUGGCAUCUACCUUUGAUCCAAAUAAGGAUUUACGUAGAAAUGAUUUAUUGUUAUGGUCAUGGGACUAUCUCUUAAGUCUGCAAUACACAGAGACUGUGGAGUUUCGAGAAAGAAUACAAUGUAUUACGAUCUAUUUACCUCUAAUAGAUAAUCCCUUAUGUCCUGCAAAAGCUUUCGAUACUUUCCUUGAUAGGACAAACUCAGUCGAUCGCUUAGGUUACCUAUUUAUUGUUGACCAUAGCAGAUGUUUGACUUAUAAAGGAUUUCGGUCAUUUUCUGGAAUACCACAUUCUAAAAUAAAGGGCCAUUCUUUUAGACGAGGUGAUGGAACGUGGCUUAGUAGAAUUGGCAUUCGGAAAGAUACCAUUAAAGGCACCGGUUAUCGGUGAGGCCGUUAAGAGUUAUAUCGAUACGGAUUUCUCCAAUAAAUUACAUAUACUAUGACUACAUUUGGGGAGUCAUUUACAAACCCAUAAUUCUUUAUAGAAUGACCAAUGUCACCAUAUACCUGUUUCCAUAUAUUCUCUCAGUUCUCAUUGACUGGGCUGGGGAAUUUUAUUUGUAUAAAAAACUUGUAAUUUGUAAUUAUUUGUAUUAAGUUCUAAUUUUCAAUGAUAUUGUAUAAUUAUGAUGUUUCUGAUGAAGGUUAUGGAAGCCAUUAAAGAAUUUGCCCAGAUUAUAUUUGCUAUUGUUUCUUCUGCCCGCUUUCACGAAUGAAUGGGGUCAAAUUGUCUAUUUGUUGUCUUCAGGUCUGCAACAAAUUUUAAUGUUUUGUUCUUCGGAAACUCCCGUUAAAAUGUUGCUUCUGAAAAAAAAAUAAUUUACAACCAAAAUAUGUUUGAUUGCUCUUCUCAAAAGCUUUCGAUUCCUUUUUUUUGAAACAAAAACGAUUGUUUACAAGAUACACGAGAAGUUUUAUCAAAAGUACAAAAUAUUAAAAAAUUGCUUUAUUAAAUUAAUGAAUAUUCGUUCGUGUGAAAUUUGUUAAUAAUUUGUGCCUUUUUAACCUUUUAGUGAUCCACCGAAAAGUGGAUCGAGAGUUUUGUUUAAUUUCUUUUUGCGUUGUUUAAUUUCGUAAAUGAUUUAUAAUCAACAUAAAGAGAAGAAUUGAACAAUGAUAUUUUAAGAGGCGUUAGAACUUUGAAGAUCUUGCUGAGUUUGACAGUUACAUUGAGUAUGAUAUUAUACUCUAUUAGUCAGAAUAUUUUCUAAACAAAAAUAUUUUUUUUUACAUUGUUUAGUUAUUGAACAAUUUAAUCAAUAAUUACCCAACAUACUGGAUACUAGAAUAGUGAAACUGUAAAUAAAAGACAAU